GGGGCUGUGGCUCAGUGGUAGAACAUCUGUUCGACAUGCAGAUGAUCCCAGGAUUGAUUCCCAGCAUCUCCA
rnacentral:tRNA from 1 species